GUGGGGAAUCUUCCGCAAUGGACGAAAGUCUGACGGAGCGACGCCGCGUGAGUGAAGAAGGCCUUCGGGUCGUAAAGCUCUGUCAUCAGGGACGAACGGCCGGUGGAGUGGAAAGCCACCGGAUUGACGGUACCUGAGAAGGAAGCCACGGCUAACUACGUGCCAGCAGCCGCGGUAAUACGUAGGUGGCAAGCGUUGUCCGGAAUUAUUGGGCGUAAAGCGCGCGCAGGUGGGAUCUUAAGUCCAUUUUGAAAGUUCGGAGCUCAACUCCGUGAUGGGAUGGAAACUGGGAUUCUUGAGUACCGGAGAGGAAAGCGGAAUUCCCCGUGUAGCGGUGAAAUGCGUAGAUAUGGGGAGGAACACCAGUGGCGAAGGCGGUCUGCUGGACAUUAACUGACGCUGAGGCGCGAAAGCGUGGGGAGCAAACAGGAUUAGAAACCCGGGUAGUCC
rnacentral:rRNA from 1 species